AUGCUUGGAUAUGGAAAGAUUUCGCACUCCUACAGAGUCUUCAAUAUCUUUCAUUAUAAAAUGGUUGAAACAGUGGAUGUGCGGUUCGAUGAGACUAAUGGCUCACAAAGAGAGCACCUGCCAAAUGUGCUAGAUGAAGUUCCAUCCAGAGAAUCAAUCAAACUUAUGGGAACUGGAGAAAUCAUACCCUCUGAAGCUCAACCUGAAGAGGACCUUAUCAUCUCCGCACCUGAUCAACCUGAAGACAAUGCUCAGCCUGAAGACAAUCCCACUAACAAUGACAAUGAUCAGCAAGAGCAAAAUCUUCGCCCUGUUCAUCCUCGUGUUGCCAAUGAAGUGCAGAUUGAGAGAAUAAUUGAUAGCAUCAAUGCACCUAGUCUGCUUACUCGUUCAAGGGCUACUCAGCUGGCAAAUUUCUGUGGGCACUUUGCAUUCGUCUCAAUAACAGAACCCAAGAAAGUUGAAGAAGUCUUCAUGGAACCUAAAUGGAUUCAAGCUAUGCAAGAAGAGCUUCAACAGUUUGAGCUGAAUAAUGUAUGA
rnacentral:rRNA from 1 species